rnacentral:rRNA from 1 species
AGUGAACGCUGGCGAUAGGCCUAACACAUGCAAGUCGAACGGCAGCACAGUAAGAGCUUGCUCUUACGGGUGGCGAGUGGCGGGCGGGUGAGGAAUACAUCGGAAUCUACUUUUUCGUGGGGGAUAACGUAGGGAGACUUACGCUAAUACCGCAUACGACCUACGGGUGAAAGCAGGGGAUCUUCGGACCUUGCGCGAUUGAAUGAGCCGAUGUCGGAUUAGCUAGUUGGCGGGGUAAAGGCCCACCAAGGCGACGAUCCGUAGCUGGUCUGAGAGGAUGAUCAGCCACACUGGAACUGAGACACGGUCCAGACUCCUACGGGAGGCAGCAGUGGGGAAUAUUGGACAAUGGGCGCAAGCCUGAUCCAGCCAUACCGCGUGGGUGAAGAAGGCCUUCGGGUUGUAAAGCCCUUUUGUUGGGAAAGAAAAGCAGCAGGUUAAUACCCCGCUGUUCUGACGGUACCCAAAGAAUAAGCACCGGCUAACUUCGUG